ensembl:lncRNA
AUCACAAUUCAGCCUUUUUAAAAUCAUGUAGCAAGCUGCCAUGGCAGAAUCUAGAGAUUACGUUGGAAACUUCCUGACAGAAUUUAAGGAGCAGAUAAUUACGAGGGCGACUCGGGUCAGUGACAUUGCUGAGGAUGUUAUCUCCCAAAGUCUGAUUCAUGAUGCGGCAGCUCAACAAGUGCAGGCUGCUCCAAGCAAUCAGGAGGCAAUGCAGCUCUUGUUUAAGGCUUUGGAAAGACAGCCACCCCUAAACAGAGUGUCCUUCCAUCUCAUCCUGAGAAUGACAGAGCCUGAACUGAUUCAAGAAUUAGAAUGGAGACAACGCAACAGCAAGCACACGCAAACAGAGAGAAGCAGUCCUCCCAGAGAAAAAAGAAAACAGGAUGACAAGAAUGGGCAUACGAGUGACAUCCAGAAGAGAAAAGACUUUCUAAAAAGACGUAGACAGAAAACAAUGCGUGCCAUUGAGCAGAUCGAGAAACUUUGGGAAGGAACUAAGCAAGAAAGGACUGAGAUAGACAACAUGAGGCAGAGGAUUCAGCAACAGCGAGACGAGAUAGCCAGGAUGACCACAGAGAAAAGACAACUUGAGAGAACUAUUACUCACAUGAAAGCCAAGAUGGACCACAUCUGUGAAAGAAUGGAUCGUAAUAAAGAAGAGGUAAAUAGAGAGAGGGAGAGGAUUGAGCAGAUGAGAUCUGACCUCCAAACUGAGCAAACCACCCUGGAGCUAAAGCGUGAUGAAAUCAUGAGAGAGAGACAGAACUUGGAGAUGAUCAGAUAUGAGACUCUGAGACAGAAGGAGGAGCUGGAGAGCAACCGUGAAAGCACAAAGUACGAGAUGGAACGAAUGGAACAAAUGAAAAGUACCAUACAAGUUCAGAUCAAUGAGAUAGAGAUGAAGAUUGAGGAAACACAGAAAACAAAGUGUCAGAUGGAGCAGAUGAAAGCUGAAAUAGAGGAGGAAAAAGCCGAGUUGGAGAGAAAGAAGGACGACAUCAAGAGGCAAAGAGACCAAUUUGAGCAGAUUAAAGCUGACAUACAGCAAGUAAAGAUGGAAAUGGAACAAAGGUGGCAUGAAACAGAGAAAGAAGGGCUGGAACGGAGAGCUAUAAUUCAGAGAGAGAAAGAUGAGCUGAAAUACCUGCAAGAUGAGAUUCAAAGAGCAAGAGAAGAGGUGGAAAGGAACACAGCAUUUUCAAAACAAGAGAAUGAGAGAAUAAACCAACUGAAAGCUCAAGCACUCACAGAAAACAACCUCAUUGAAAAGAAAUGGCAAGAUGUCUUAAGAAAAGAAAAAGACCUGGAAGAGAUUAAACAUGAAAUUGAGAGAGGUCGAGAGGAGUUGAUGAUGAAUGGAGAGCUGGUCAAAAAGGAAUGGGAACAAAUCGAACAGGCCAAAGUGGACAUACAAAAUCACAAGAUAUCUAUGGAGGCCAGAGUUGAGGAAAUAAAAACAGAAACUGUUAGGCUGAAACAUAUGAAAAUAGAGAUGCAGAAAGAUAAAGAUAUUUUAGAAAAACAGAAGGAAGACAUACAGAAAGCUAAAGAAGAAAUGGAGAAGAACAGGUAUGAGAUAGUGAAAGAGGAGUUAGAGCACAGAGCUCGUCUGCAGAGGGAGAGAGACGAGCUGGAGAGUGUAAGAGUAGAGAUACAAAGGGCUAAUGAUAUGGAGAAAGCAAAGAUACUGAAAGAGAAGGAAGAAAGUGUUAAGAUAAGAAAAGAAGCCAGACAAGAAAGAGAAAUUACAGAACGGAUCAAAGCAGAGAACAAGGCCGAAAAAGACAGCUUGAACCGAAGACAAGAGGACAUGCUGAGGGAGAGACAACAGCUAGAAAGAAUUAAACAUGAGAUGGACAGAGCCAAAGAGGAGAUCGAGAACAGCCAAGAAGUCACAAUCCGGGAAAAUGAGAAAAUGGAAAAAAUGAAGGCUGAUAUUCAAGGACAAAUUGAAGAUAUUGAGAAGAAGGUUGAGGAGAUCCAAAAAACAAAAGAAAAAAUGGAGGAGACAAAGGCUGAGUUGGAGGAAGAGCGGGAGGAGCUGGAAACAAAAAGAGAAUUGGUGAGAAUAGAGACUGAACAGUGUGAGUUCCUCAGAAGUGAAAUCAUCAGGGUGAAGGAGGAAAUGGAGAGCAGGUGGCAUGAAACGGAGAAAGAGAAGGUCGAACUCAGAGCAAAAACUCAGCAUGAGCUGGAAAGACUGGAAAAAUUAAAGGACGAGGUCCAAAUAUCCAAGAAAAACACUGAGGAGAGCAUGAAUGAGCUCAUGCAAUGGAAGGAUAGUCUUGAAAAAAUGAGGGUUCAGGCAGAAGAAGACAAACUUGCCGCUAUCAAACAGAUGGAUGAGGCUAAAGCAAAGAAAGAAGAGCUGACAAAAAUAAUAGAACAGAUGGAGAAAGAGCGAGGGGAGAUUAAUAACAACAGAGAACAGGCUAAUCAAGAAGCAGAUGAAAUCAAAAGGAUGAGAAAUGAGCUACAAAGACAACAGGCAGAAAUAGAGAACAGGAUUAGAGUGGCAAAACAAGAAAAAGAGGAGGCAAAAAAGGCCAAACUUGAAGUCCAAGAGGCUGAGAUGCUCUUAGAAAAGCAAAUGGAAGAGUCAGAAAAAAGACGGUAUGAAACCAUAACAGAGGCAUUGGAGCAAAGAGAUGAAAUACACAAAAAAACAGAGGAGUUAGAACAAAUAAAUGAAGAGAUACAGAGAGCCAGGCAUGAGCUAGAAAAGUUGAGGCAUUCUGAAAAAGAGAGCCGAGAACAGAAAAUGUUGGAGGACACACAUCAAGAGAGAGAGUUUGUUGAGCAAAUGAAAAUAGCUGUGCUGAAGGACAAGGAAGAUCAGGAAAAGUCUUUAGCUGAGAUAGAGAAGGAGAGAGAGGAGCUCAAACAGAUUAGAGUUCAGGUCCAGAAUGAGAAGAAAGAUCUAGAAAAACGAAGGUAUGAGAUGAUGAGAUAUGACGUAGAACAGAGUGCUCAGGUGCAGAGACAAAGAGAAGAACUUGAGAAGAUCAAGACUCAGUUAGUUAGAGACACAGAGACCAUGAACAGAAGUAGAGAAUUAGCGCAACAAGACAGAGAGAAAGCCGAGUGUAUUAUGACUGAGAUCCAGAAACAAAGAGAGGAAGUGAAUAAAAGGUUAGAGGAGACAAAACGACGAGAGGACGCUUUGAGGAAGAUGACAGAGGACAUGGAGCAUGAGAGAGAAGACCUGGAGGAGAUUCGUGUGGAAAUGCUGAGAGGGAAAGACACAUAUGAAGAGGUCAAGGAUGAGAUUAACAGAGUGAGAGCGGAGAUAAAGAGGUUGUGGGAUGAGGCUGAAAAGGGAGAGCUGGAGGAACGAGAGAGAUUAAACAGGGAGAAGGAGGAGACGAUGAGGAAAAUAGAAGCUAUGAAAAAGGAGAUGGGUGAGAUUGAAGACACGAAGGUGGAGUUAACAAAACAAAAGAAGGACAUUGACGUAAAGAUGGAAAAGGCAAGGUUGGAAAUGACUAAACUUGAAAAGAUGAAAGCAGACCUCCAAAAACAGAAAGAAGAUAUUGAAAUCCAGAUGAUGGAAGCAAAAAGUGAGAGAUACCAGAUGGAACUGAUGAGGACUGAGAUCUUAAAACAAAAAGAGGAUGUUGAAAGGAAAAUGGAGCUAGCAAAAGCAGAGAUGGACAAAAUGCAGCUUGUCAAAGAGGAAAUACAAAGACAAAGAAAAGAGCUGGAGGAAAGGAUGCAGAAAACCAAACGAGAGAUUGAAGAAAUGGAGCUGAUGAAGAGAGAAAUGGAAGGGAAGAAGAAAGAACUUCAGCAAAGGAUGAAAUUGACCAUGAGGAAGAAGGACGAGAUGGAACGACUGAAGAUGGAGAUACAAAGAGCAAAAGAUGAGAUGGAACGGAAAAGAGUGGAGACAGAGAGGCAGAAGUAUGAAAUGGAGCAAGUUAAAGCUGAAAUCCAAAGAGCGAGAGAGGAGUUUGAACUUAGGAUGGAGGAGAGAGAUUUAGAAGAAGAGAAAGGACAGAUGAACCUCACAAUAAUCAACCUUAUUCAACAGAUUGAGGCGACGAGAGAAAUGGUGCGAAAAGCAAAAUUCCAGAUUGAAAGCCAAAUGGCAGGAAGUCAGAUGGAGAUGACAGACCAAGAGGAGAUGAAUGCUGAGAUGCAGAGGCUCAUUCUGGAGAUUGAACACAUCCGUGAAAUGCUGCGAGGUCUUAAGGGUGAGGUGGAACACAACAAGGAAAUGAUGAAGAGAGACAGGGAUGAGAUGAGGCUGCUGAAGAAUGAAGUUCAACGAAGGAGAAGAGAGAUUGAAUACAGAGAAGAAAAGAUUAUAAGAGAAUGGGACGAACUAGAACUCAUGAGAAAUAUGUUGCAGCGGCAAAGAGAGGAACUGGAGGAGAGGUUGGAGGAGACCAUUAAAGAGAAUGAUAAGGUGGAGCAGAUGAGAGAAGAUGUGAAAAAUGCCUUGGAGAACAUAGAACGGGCCAAAAAAGAGAUAAAGAGAGAGAAAGAACUCAUUGCUCAAGAAAAGACAGGAAAAGAAAAGGUUCAACCAGCCAUCAUUCCAACCGAGAGCCAAGAGUAUGCAAAAACAGAAGAACCAGCUGCCAUUAAAGUGGAAGACUUUGUCAGUGAUAGACAGGAAGAAAGACAAGAACUGGAACAAUAUAAAGAAAUCCUUUUAAUAGAGAAACAUGAACUAGAGAAGACAAAGGAGGAUGUACAAGCGCUGCAGAAUAAAACUGAAGAGAUGAUGACAAAAUUACAAGAGGAGGAAAAGGAGAUGGAAAAGAAACAAGCGAGUCUACAAAACUGGGAAAGACUGCUGCAAUCAGAAAGAGAGGAGAACCAGAGAGGUUUAGAUGUAAUAUGGAAAGAGAAGAAGCAGCUGGAUCAAAGAAAACAAGAACUAGACAAUAUGGAAAUAAAUCUACAGAGAGAGAAAUAUGAAUUGGAAAAAACAAGAAAGAUUAAGCAAGCUGAUGUGCAAGUCCAAACUGAUGUGAUGGAUGAUGUAGGAAAACAUCAGAUGAUCUUGACCAUGGAGGAGCUGGAUAAAGAGCGACAAGCACUAGAGUAUUUAAAAAAAGACUUACUUGCACAAAAAAGUACAAUUGAGAGACAACUGGCAGAAAUAAAAAUGAGCAAGGAUGAAUUUUCGCUCAAAGAAGUCGCACUGCAAACUGCAACAAAACACGCAGCAGACAUGGAGUUGCAAUUAGAACAGCGAAAACAGGAGCUAGAACAAACAAAAGAUGAGCUGGAAAAGACAAAGCUAGAAAUACAGAAAGGAUGGGAUGACCUGCAGGCUGAGAUUGCAGAAAGCAGAGAAAAAGAAGACAUGAUAAGAACAGAAUUAGAAAAAGCAAGAGAUGUCCUAAAUCACAUUAGACAGGAUAUAGAAAAACAAAAACAAACCAUGGAGGCUGAUCUAAAAGACACUUUUGCUAGAGAACUAGAAGACAUCGAAGCUCAGCAAAAAAGGAUAGAGGAUGAAAAGAGAACAUUAGAGAACAUGAAAUAUGAGCUGGAAAAGGAGUCUAGUGAUGUUGAAAGGUUAAAACAGAAUGUGCAGAAAGAAAGACAGAACAUGGAGAAAUGGGCAGAGCAGCUCAAAAAAGAGAGGGAGGAACUAGAAAAGAAAAUGUGUGAUAUUCAACAAAUACAAGCACAGAUAGUGAGAGAAAAGAAAGAGCUAGAGAAUUCGAGAGAGGAGAAUGAGCAGACAUUGAAGGAGAUCAUAAUGGAGAGAGACACUCUUGAGAAACAAAAAGAUGAUUUUGAGAAUGAGAAGGAAGAAAUCAAGAAAAGAGAAAAUGAACUGCAGCAAAUGCAAGCUGAUCUUAACAGACAACAAAAAGACAUGCAUGAUAUUCAGAAUAUAGUUUUCAUGCAAAAAAGUCAACUUCAGAUAAGCCAAGAGGAAAUAGCUGAAAAGCUAAAACAGGUCGAUAACAUCAUGCAGUUCACACAAAAUGAAAAAGACAGUCUUGACAGAGAGAGGGCGGCUAUAAUGGAGCAGAAGCAGCAGAUGGAGAGAAACAUGACAGAUGCACUAAACAGAGAACUGGAAACUGUGGAACUUGUGAAACAAGAGAUACUAAAUGAGAAGCGACUUAUUGAGGACUGCAGAAUAGCUUUAAUGAGAGAGAUACAAGAUUUGGAGCAAAAGAAAAUCAAUUUGGGGGCUCAGGCGGAUGAGAUAAAAUUACAAAGACAAAGUAUUGCAGAAGAGAAAAACACGUUGGAACAAACUAAAUCUUUGCUGCAAAGAGUAGCUGAAGAUACUGAGAAGCUAAGACAAGAUACACAAGCUGAAAGACAUAAACUUAAAAACACUGCUGUGCAACUUCAGAAAGAGAGAGAUGCCAUUGUGAGUCUUGCAGAGGAGACAAAAAGGAAGAGGGAGGACCUGGACAAAAUGGAAACUGAUAUAGAAAAGCAUGAAAAAGCCAUGAAGGCUAAUCUGCAAAAAGAAGCCAGUGUCAUUGAAAAUUUAAGACAAGCUGUUCAAAAUGACAUACAAAACAUAAAAGAUAUGGAAGCCAAAAUUCAAAAAGAAAGACAAUACACUUAUAGUCUAGUUGAAGAGACUGAAAAAAGGUCAAAAGCUCUAGAUGAGCUACAUAUGGAGGUUGAAAAAGAAAAGCAAUGUGUUGAGUCUGAGAGAGAUGUGCUAGAACAAGAGAAGUUUAAGCUUAAAGAACUCAAAGAUGAAUUUGCUCAGCAAAAAGAACAGAACAGUAUUAUACUGGCAGAGAUACAGAAAGAAAGAGACAAUCUUAAGCAGUUGAUUGAAACCAUCUCAAAUCAAAGGUGCAUUGUUGAAAAUGAUAAAGAAAAUUUAAGACUGAGAGAAAAUGAACUGAAACAAAAAGAAGCAGAGAUGGAAAACAAACAAAAACAAAUAGAUGAGUUGAAGAGCAUUUUAAGGAUGGAAAAGAUGCAAGUUGAGCAGAUGCAAGCUGACCAAGAUCAACACAGGACAGCUGCACAUGAAAAAAUACAAUAUGUUAAGACUGUAAGAGAAAGAGAAGCGGCAGAUCUGGAGAAAGAGAGACAGGAAAUUGAGAAUUUGAGAGAAGAAUUGAGGGUAGAAUAUGAAAAUGUGGAGCUCCUAAAGGAAAAUCUAACUGAACAAAAAGAAGUAUUUAAAAGCCACAUGAAAUCACUGGAAAUGGAUAAGGACGACAUAGAGAAAAAUAAAGCCAAACUGCACAAAGAAUUUGAAAACUUGCAGUUUCACAGGCAAUCUUUUGAGAAAGAGAUACAGCAGGUGAGAGCUGAGCUUCAGAAAGAGACUGACAAUACUGAGAGAAUAAAGAAAGAGGUGGUGGCUGAAAAGCAGAGUAUAAAAGACAUGGCAGCUCAAAUUGAACAUGAGGGAAAUGACAGAAAAGAAGCUCUGGAGAGGAUGCGUCUUGAGCUAGAAAAACAAAAGCAAACAACUGAGACUGAAAAAGAUAUACUAGAAAAACAGAAAUCUGAAGUGGAGAGAAGCAAAACAGAGAUAGCUAGAGCAGAAGAAGAUCUUGCUGAAAAGAGAAAAAUGUAUGAUAUUGAUCGGUCAGAGAUAGAGAAGCAAACAAAUUCCCUUGAGCAAAUAAAGAUGAACAUCUCACAAGCGGAACAUGAUAUUAAAAAAGCCAAGGACAGUUUAAGACAUCAAGAAAAUGAACUGAAUAUACGUACCUCACAACUUUAUGCACAACAAAAAGAAAUAGAAGAGACUCAGGAUAUUAUCAUGAAACAGAAGAGUCAGCUUAAUGAAAAGCAGGAUGAAAUAGAAAAACAAAAGCGAGAACUGGAGAAUGUGAUGGACAGACUUGAGAAAGAGAGGACUGAUGUUAUGGAAGAAAGACAAAGAGUGAAUGACAUGCAAGUAGAACUGAAGAGGGAAAGUGAAAUAGUGGAGCUGAUGAAACAAGAAGUUCUCAGAGAAAAAGAAUCUAUUGAAAACAGCAGGAAAAUACUAAAAAGAAAUCAAGAGGAUAUUCAAGAAAAUAGAACCAUCUUAUCGCAAGAGUUUGAGACCUUAAACUACCAGAAACAAUUGAUUGGCGAAGAAAAGCAGGAAUUUUAUAAGAUGAAAACUGAGCUCCAACAGGAAAAGGAAAAUAUUGCUAAACUAAGGGAAGACAUAGAAAAUGACAGGCAGAAGGUUGAGGAAAUAGCAAACAAACUUCAAAAAGAAAAGGAAGUUAUAGAGACUUCUUUUGCAAGGCUAAGAUCAGAGGAAGCAGAUUUAAGAAAACAAAAACAAACAAUUGAAUCUGAAAAGGAAAAGUCUGUCCUGGAGAAAACUAAAACAGAGAUAUCCAGAGCGAAAGAAGAUCUUGAGAACCAACUUGAAUCACAUAAAAGGCAAAAUGAAGUAACACUGGCUGAGAUACACAAAGAGAAACACAUUCUUGAGCAGUUAAGAAUGAACAUAUCAAGACAGAGAGAUGAUCUAGAAAAGGACAUUGAGCAAACAAGAUACAAACAAGCAGAGCUGCAAAGUCUAAAAAUGGAAAUUCAGAAACAGCAAACAGAGAUAGAUGAGCAGAAGGUGAUGAUUUCCAUGGAGAAGAGUGGGCUUAAAGACAUACAAAUUCAAAUAGAUCAACAGAAAAAAGAGACAGAUGAAACCAAAGAACAGAUAAGGAAGGAGAGAGAUUAUAUCGAGAGGGAAAGAGCAGAAAUAAUUAAUCAAAAACAGCAUAUGGAGGUAAAUUUAAGGGAAGAACUAAAAAAGGAGAGUGAAAAGUUAGAACUGCUCAGAAAGGAGUUGUAUGAUGAAAAGGAAAGAAUUGACAAAAGCAGGAAAAGCAUAAAAACAGAUAUGGAUGCUUUGGAACAAACAAAGCUUGAUGUAGUUAAAGAGUUGGAGAUUAUCCAGCUUCAGAAACAAAUGAUCGAGGAUGAGAAAAACAAGACUGAGCAGAUAAAAGCUGAGCUAAAAAGAGAAGCUGAAGACAUUGAGAAGAUAAAAGUAGUGACACAAAAUGAAAGACAGAAGCUUCAGGAAGCAACAACCCACCAUCAGAAAGAUAGAGACAAUGUUCAGAGUCUUACAGAGGAACUUGACAAGAAAAAAGUGGCUCUAGAAAAUGUGCAACGGGAGAUAGAAAUGCAAAGGAAAGCAAAUGAGUCUAAUAAACAGAUGCAAGAAAGGGCUCUGUUUGAGCUGAAGAAAACUGUGACAGAUAUAGCAAGAGCGAAGGAGGAUCUUGAAAACCAGCUUGUUGAAGAAAGAGAAAAGAACAAGAUCACACUAGCAGAAAAAGACAUGCUUCUUCUACUGAGAGACAGUAUUUCAGAGCAACAGGAUAACAUUGCAAAUGAGAGAGAGCAAAUGAGACUUAGAGAGACUGAACUUGAACAACUCCAAGCUCUGAUUUAUAGACAGCAAGAUGAAAUGGAAGCCACACGAAAAGCUCUCACAAUGGAAAAAAGUAGACUUGAGGAGAAGAAAACUGAAAUAGAUCAAAAAUGGAGAAAAGUAAAUGAAAUCAUGGAAUUUACAACAGGAGAAAAGGCUUAUCUUGAGAAAGAGAGGUCUGAAAUGAUAGCACAGAAACACCAAAUGGAGAAUGAACUGGAGCUCUUUAAGGUGGAACUGAAUAAUGAAAAAGAAUUAACUGAAGAAAGGACCCAAAUGUUAACAACAUACAAGGCUGACAUAGAAGAAAAAAGAGCAGCCCUAGAGAUAGAGAUAAAGAAGCUUGACUAUCAUAAAAAAGCUAUUCGAGAUGAGAAGGAUAAUGUUGAACAGAUGAAAACUGAGCUGCAAAGAGAAGCUGAUGACAUCAGAAAGCUAAAAGAAGAAACACAAAUUGAAAGACAGAGUUUGGAAAAGAUGGCAAAAGAACUUCAGAAAGAGAGAGAAGCUAUUGUUCAUCUUGCUGAAGACACAAAAAGAAAAAAGGAGAUUCUGGGUGAAAUGAAAGCUGCAAAUGAUUCUUCAAUGGCAGAUCUACAAAGAGAGAAAAACAAUCUUGAGCAAAUGAGAGUGAACAUCUCCAAACAAACUGAUGAUAUUGAAAAUGAGAAAGAGAAAAUGAGACUCAGAGAGGAUGAACUAAAGCAACUGCAAGCAGAGAUUUAUAAACAACAAAGUGAAAUGAAAAACCUCAAACAAAUCAUCAUGACUGAGAAGCAGCAGCUUGAACUCAGAGAGACUGAAAUAGAAAAACAACAGAAGGAGCUGCAUGACAUUGUGGAGUUUGCAAAUAAUGAGAAGAGCAUUAUUGAAAAUGAAAUCGCUGCAAUGAACAGGGAAAAACAGAACAUGAUGACUGAGCUGAAAAAGAAGUCUGAAGAUGUUGAGCUUCAGAUGAAGGAGGUAUUGACUGAAAAGGAAAUGUUGGAAAAUGACAGACAACUGCUGAACAGAGACCAGGAAAUUCUGCAACAAAAGCUAGUUAAUGUAGACUGUGACUCGGAUAGUCUGAAACUUGAGAGAGAAGCUUUGGGGAAUGAGAAGGAAGUGAUAAAACAGAUCAAAACUGAAUUGCAAAGAGAAGCAUGUGAGCUUGAGAAGAUCAAACUAGAAACACAACAUGAAAGACAAAGGAUUGAUGAAAUGGCAGCUCAACUCCAGAAAGAGAGAGAAGAAAUCAAUAGUCUUAUUGUGGAAAUUAAAAAGAAGAGAGAUGUUCUGGAUGAAACCUAUACUGAAAUACAAAGGGAACAAGAAGCAAUUGAGAGAGGCAAAGACUUGAUUAGAAGGGAAUGGUCUGACCUAGAGAAAACCAAAGUGGAGAUGUCUCAAACCAAGGAAGAGAUUGAAAAACAAAAAACAAACAUUGAGAUCACAUUGGCAGAGAUGCAAAAAGAGAGAAACAUGCUUGAACGCAUGAGUGAGAAAAUAACAAUAGAAAGAAAUAUGCUUGAAGAUGAAAAGGAAGAAUUAAGAAUAGGAAAGGAAGAACUUGAAAGAAUGCGGGCAGACAUCGAAAGACAACAAGAAGAUACUGAUCACCUGAGGUUUGGCAUAACAGAAGAGAGUCUGUUUGAGAAGUCAGAGGCUGAAAUGGUUCUUCAGACAGAGAGUGACGUGGAUGAAGUCAAGUCUUUAACAGGAAAAGAAAUGUCAGAUCCAGAUAGACAUAGUGUUUCGAUGGAGCAGAUGCUGAAAAUGGACUUAAAAGAUACCUUAGAAACAGAAGCUGAGAACCAAAAGUCAGAUUUUCCUGAAGUUGAGGAUGAUUUACCUCAUAAACAGGAGAUGAUGUUAGAGAAGAAGUUUAUUGAAGAUGAAAAGGACAAGCUGGAAAAGAUAAGAGCUGAAUUACACAAAGAAGCUGAUCACAUUGAAAAGAAAAAGCAGGACAUGCAGAACGAAAGACAGAAGCUAGAAGAAAUGGCUGCUCAACUUCAUGAAGAGAGAAGAAGUCUUGAAAGUCUUAAUGAGGAGAUUAAUGUUCAGAAUUUCAAUCAACAAAAGCAAGCAACAGAGUCUGAAAUGGAGAAGACUGAUUCAGAGAAAAUCAAAACAGAAAUUGCUAAAGCCAACAAACUUCUUGCAGCACAUCAGGAGAAGAAUGAGAUGACAAUAGAAGAGAUGCGGAGAGAGAGAGACACUCUUGAAGAAAUGAGGGUGAGCAUCUCAAAACAAGCAGAGACUAUUACAAAAGGUAAUGAAAAUCUUUCUCGCAGAGAAAGUGAACUUGCAAAGCUGCAGGAAGACAUUUUACAACAACAAAAUGAAAUGGAUGAACUGAAAACCACAAUCAUGAUGGGAAUGAGUCAUCUGGACCAGAGACAAACUGACAUUGAUCAAUUACAGCGGGAGGUUGAUGAUCUAAUGGAAUUCACAAAGACAGAAAUGACCAACGUAGAAAGAGAAAGAGUGGAAAUGAUGGCACAGAAGAGAGAUAUAGAGAGAGAUAUGGUCAGUAUAGAGGAAGAAAAGAAGACCUGUGAACAACUGAGACUAAAAUUAUUUGAGGAAAAGGAUCGGGUUGAAAAAGACAGAGAACUGUUGACCAAAAAUUUGUAUCAUAUGGAGAGGCAGAAAAUGGAUAUGGAGAAAGAACUAAAGAAUCUAAAAGUUGAGAAACAAACCAUUCAAAAUGAAAAGGAGGAACUAGAGAGGAUGAAAACUGACCUUCAAAGACAAGCUGAAGACUUGAAGAAACUACCUGAGAAGACAAAGGAUGAAAGACAGAAGGCAGAAGAGAUGGCAGCCAAAUUUAAAAAGCAAUUAGACAUCAGUGGUAUUCCUUCGGAUGAGACAGAGAAGCAGAGUAAGGAAAUUCAGUCAACCAAAGACUUGCUUCGGGAAGAAAGGUCUGAGCUGGAGAAAACCAAAGCAGAGAUAAAACAAGCCAAGGAAGAAUUAGAGAGUCAAAGAACUGACUUACAGAGAGAAAAAGACAUUCUUAAGCAAGUGAGUAUAAAUAAUUUGAGACAAACAGCUCAAAUUGAAGAUGAGAAGGAAAAAAUACAACACAAAGAGUAUGAACUAGAACAAAUGAGAGCAGAACUUCAAAACAAACAAAAAGAAAUGGAUGACAUGAAAAACAACAUAAUAAAAGAAAAAGCUAAUAUGGAGAAUCUGGAUCAAAAGAGAGCUGAGUUGGCUAGAGACUUGGAAAAGCUACAAACUGAGAAACAAGCUUUUAAAAAUGAGCAAGAUAAGCUGGAAAAGAAGAGAGAGGAUAUUGAGAAGUUAAAGCUAGAAGUUCAGAAAAAAGGGCAGAGGGCUGCAGAAGAGUUAGAAAAAGAGAGAAAACAAUUUACUAUGGAGAUCAAAAUGAAAAAUGACACCCUGGAUGAAAUACAAGCUGAGAUAGAAAGACAGAAACAAGCCAUUGCUGUAGACAAAGCGAUCACUACAAAAGAAAAGAUAGAUCUGGAAAAAAACAAGGAACAUUUCAAAAGACAAUCCGUGGAGAGUGACAUCACACGUGCAGACCUGCAGAAAGAGAGAGCUAGUCUUGAUCAGAUGAGUGUGGAGAUCUUUAAGCAAAAACAGGACCUAGAGAGAGAAAGAGGUGAACUGUUAGAACGGCAUCAGCUGAUGGAAACACUAAAAAAGGACAUUGAAAAUGUGGAACAACUCAGAAAAGAGCUUUCAGAUCAAAAAGAAGUGACUGAGAAAAGCAGAACACAGCUGAAACAAGACAUAGAUGACAUGGAACAAAACAAAUCAAAUCUGCAAAAAGAAUUACAGGAGAUAAAAGUUCAAAAACAGGAUAUUCAAGAUGAAAGAGCUCAACUAGAGCAAAUUAAAGCUGAGUUAGCAAAAGAAAGAGAAGCAAAUGAUGAAAUGUUGAGAGAGGCUAAGAAAGAAAUGGAGAAAUUGAAGGAGAUCAAAUCAAAUAUUCUAAUCCAAAAAGAAGAGUUUGAGACUAAAAGACAGUCAGAAGUAGAGGAACUCAUUGGUAUGAGAGCUGAAAUACUCAAACAGAAAGAGGAAUUAGAGGACAAGAUGCAAAAGACUAAACGUGAAAUGAAAGAAUUGAAGCUUCUUCAGGAUGAAACUGAUGGGAAGAGGAAAGAUCUUGAACACAAGAUGAGACAGGCAACAAGAAAGAAAGAUGAGCUGGAGAAAAUGAGAGCUUAUAUUGAAAGUGCAAAUGAGAAACUUGAAAUGAACAGGGUCCUGUUAAGUAUAGAGCUUGAUGAGAUGGAGCGAAUGAAAGCUGAGAAACAACGAGCGGGAGAAGAACUACAUAUGGAAGAGAGAGCUGGAGAUCUGGAAGAGAAAGAACAAAUAAACACCAAGAUACAGAGGCUUAUUCAAGAGGCUGAACAUGACCUGGAAAGAAGCAUGCCAAGAGAUGUUAAUGUUCAAGCGGAUUCAGAAGAAAGGCAAGAAAUGAGUGCUUACAUGCAGAGGCUGAUUCAGGAAAUUGAGCAUGUCAGAGAGGUUCUCAGAAGAAUGAAAGAUGAAGUCAAGGCUGCUAGAAAAGAAAGAUUUGAACUGGAGAACAUAAGGCUGGAAAUUGAAGCCAUGAAACAGAGCAUGAAAGAAACCUAUGAGCAACAGAACAAUGAGAUACAAAAAGAGAAGCAGCAAAUAGAGAGUACCAAAGACUUGUUGAGCAGAGAGCGAAGUGAUCUUGAGCAAAAUAGAGCUGAUUUGGAGAGAAAAAAACAAGAAAUGGCAUUGGACAAACAAAAACUCCAUGAUGAAAAUGAACUGCUGAAGACAGAAACGGCUGACAUGAAGAAACAAUAUGAAAUUCUCCAAAGCCAUCUAAAAGAAACUAGAGAAAGUGCAGGAGAAACAGUUACACUUUCUAAGAAAAUGAAAGGAAUGGGGAGAGAUUCAGAGGAAUUAAGGGAGAAAAUGGAAGCAUUAAGCAUGGGCGACCAGCAAGAAGAGAGUGAGAGUCAGUUAGAUAAAGUUAAAAGACAAAUAGACAAACUGACAGAGUUGAAGGCUGAGCUGGAUCAACAGCAGGUAGAACUUGAGAAAAAUAAAGCAGACUUUAAACAUCAGAUGGAUGAGCUAGAAAACAUGAGGUCUGAGAUAUUAAAACAUAAAAAGGACACGAGAGAGGUGGAGCUGAUGGAUAUACAGAGACAAAGAGAGGUCCUAGAAACAAGGAUUCAGAAAAUGAUGCACGAGAAGGGAGAACUGGAAGUCUUAAGGUCUGAGAUAGUCAUAGAAAAGAAAGAUCUGGACCAGAAGAUGAAACAAGUUAUGAGAAAGAGGGAUGAGAUGGAGAAAAUGAAGACUGAUAUAGCAAAGGCCAAAGAGGAGAUCAACAGAGAUCGACAGGAGCUGGAAAUACUCAGGAAUGAUGUUCAAAGCUCAAGAGAGGAUUUUGAACUAUUGGUGGAGAAAACUGUGAAUCUAGAAAAUGAGGAAAGUACCAAUGCAGACAUCCAAAGACUGAUUUUAGAGGUUGUGAAAAUCAGCGAAAUGGUGAGAAAUCUAAAAGUUGACAUGGAGAACCGGAUGGAGGAAAGUAAGGUGGUGAGAGAUGAAAAGGAAAACUUCAAGUCUGAGAUCCAGAGGCUCAUUCAAGAUAUUGGACCAAUACGGGAACAUCUUGGAAGCCUUAGAGAAGAUAUAGAAACCAUCAGAAGAGACAAGAAUGAAUUGGAAAAGAUGAGGGCAGAACUUGUAGAGAAGCAACAGGCAGAAGAGAGCAUGCUGCAGAAAGAAAGAGAAAAACUGGAGCAGCUGAAAGAUGAGAUAAACAGAGAAAAGGAGGAUAUGGAGACCAAGAGAGAGCUGAUUAAGGAAGAAAUAGCUAAAGAAAAAAUGGAAGAGUUCAAAGACACAAGAAAGAACAAGAAAGAACUGCAAAUGGUCACUGAGGAACUCUUGAGAAACAAGAGUGAUGUAGAACAGCUCAACAAAGAUAUAGAAAACCUGAGGCAAACCAUGGAAGAAAUGAAAACACUGCAUGAAAAGAAAAGGGCUGAACUGGAAGGCAUUAUUUCUGAAGUAAAGAGGACAGAUCAGAUACUGGAGAAGCAGAAACAUGAGUUGGAGGAGAAGGGUUGGAUUGUUAAAGAAAUAGAGAAAAAGAAAGACAUACUUGAAAAGAUCAAUAUGGAAAUACUGAGGAAGAGAGAAGAUAUGGAAAAAGAAAUGGACAAUUUAAGGCACAAAAAGCAAGAGCUGGAGCUCUUUAGAGGUGAACUCCAGAGACAGAGAGCUGAAAUCAAUCAACAAAGGCAUGAAGUGAGUGCUGCCAUGAAGGCCUAUGAUGUGGAACUGAAAAAUCUAGAAAAGAUGAGGAAUGAACUAGAAAAUGAGAGGGCUAAACUUGACGAAAAGCUCCAUGAUGCCACAAAAGCAGAGAAGAAACUAGAGGAAAUGAAGAGUGUACUAAACAAACAAAAAGAGCAAGUGGAAGUAAUGAAGCAGAUGGUCAUCACAGAGAGACAUUUAAUUGAACAAGAGAAUGCUGAGCUUCAGAAGAAGUCAGAGAUCACUGACAGACUCAUUCAGGAAGCAAACAAUGAGAGAGACAGAUUAACAGACCUCAGUCUAAAACUUCAAAUGCAAAGAGAAGAUAUAGAGAAUAUCAUCACAGAAAUAGAGACCAAGAAGAAAAAUCUAAAUAUAAUGAGUGCAGAACUUCAAGAUGAUAAGAUACGACUGAAAAAUGACAGGGAUGUUUAUGAAAGGGAAAUGACACAUCUGCAGCUUAAGAGGGAAGAGUUAGUGAUGGAAACAGAGGACCUGGAAAGAAAAACCUUACAGCAGAAAGAACAAGAUGAGAUGGCGAAACGAGAGAUUCAAAAUCAGAAAGAGGCUCUAGAGCAAAUGAAGGUGGACAUUCUGAAGGAAAGAGAGGAUUUUGACAAAGAGAAGAAAAAUGUACAUUCAGAAAAACAGAAACUGGAUACACAACAAGGAGAACUGCAAAGAAAGGAAUGUGAGCUUGAAAAUAGAGUAAAAACUUUCAUGGAAGAGCAGCAGCAGCUGAAACAGACUCAAGAUGAAAUAUAUAAAAUCAAGAAGGAGAUUCAAAGCAAUCUGGAAAUAAAGGAGGCUGAAAUUCAAGAGGAGAGACAGAGAUUAAUGGAAAUGGGUGAAACAAUGACAAGAGAAUGCAAUGAAUACAGAAAGCUGAUUGAAGAAGUGCAGAAAGAAAAAGAGCAGAUUGAAAUCAGCAAAAAGUUGAUGGAUCAAGAGAAGGAUGAUCUUAAAAACAUGAAAAAUGAUCUGGAGAUGCAAUUGCAAAAUCUAAGACAUGACAAACUGAAUUUAGAAGAUGAGAUGAAAGCACUAGAACGGAUAAGAGCAGAAUCCAAAGAGAUUCAAAAUGUUAUCAAGAAGGAAAGAAAGGAUCAAGAGAAAUGCUGGCUGGAAAUUGAGGGUGAAAAGCAAAGAGUGGAGGAAGAAAUCAGACAAUUAGAGAGACAGAGGGAAGAAACAUAUAAACUUCACAGCGAGUUGCAAAUAAUUAGAGAUGACACUGAAAGUAGGAAAGAAAAGAUUGAUAAAGAAAUUAAAGAAUUGUUGCAAAUGAGGGUUGAACUGGAGAGAACAAAAGUGGAAAUUAAAAAGGAUAAUCAACAACUUCAAGAUGAUAAAUUUAACCUUGAAAAGACAAAAGCUGAGAUAAAGAUACAGACAGAUAAAUUGAUACUUAUAGACACUAAUUUAAAGGAGAAAGAAAGAGAAAUGAAAAUCCAACUAGAUAAAGACAGAGAAGAAAUUACAUGUUUGUCUGAAGAGACUGAAAUGAAAAUGAGGGACCUUGAUAUGACGAUGAAGGUGAUGGAGAGACAAAAGCAAGAAAUUGAGAAAACAAAAGUGAUGCUUGAAAAGGAAAAGACAGAAAUUGAUAAAGAAAAGAAAGACUUGGAAAACCAAAUGAUGGACCAGACUGAGCAGAUAGAAAAGGACAGACUGGCCCUUGAGGAGAUGAAGGAAGAACUUCUUCAUGAAAAACAAGAAAUGGAGGAAGAGAGGAAUAACUUGAUGGCUUUAAGCAACAAACUAGAAGUUUUAAGAGCAGAGACAAGGAACAAGCAAAAUGAAAAUGAGAUUUUGAAGAAGAAACUUAUUUUGGAAAAAUCAAACAUAGAGGAAUUGCAGUUUGAGGUACUUAACCAGCAGCGACAGAAUGAUCAAACCAGUGAGGAAAACAAGAAAGAGAGAGAAGAUCUGGAAAAACAGAGGUUUGAAACUGAACAGCAGAAACAGAUGUUGGAGCUUAGCAUCAUAAAAAUUAAUGAGGAGAAGCAAAAACUUCAGAAAGCCAAAGAAGAAAUGGAAAACAUAAAAUACAUGACCAACAAAGAAAGAGACAAGGUUGAACAAAUGCAAGCUGAGAUACACAGUCAGAUUCAGUCGACUGAACUACAAAUGCAACUCAUGCAAGACAAGCAGAAUGCUCUUGAGGAAAAAGAGCUAAACAUACAGAGGAGGGAAAGGGAAGUAGAGAGGAGAAACAUAGAAUUAGAUGGAAUCGCUGCUCAGCUUCACAUUGAACAGGAACAUUUAGAUACUGUUCUUGAGGAAACCAAUAAGAGACAACAUGCCCUUGAAGUGAUAAAACAAAAAAAUAAUAAAGACUUUGAGUUGCUUGAGAAGAUACGGCAUGAAAUAGACAACGAAAAGAUAGAAAUGAAGCAGAAACAAGAUGAUCUGCAGAUUUGGAGUAAACAACAGAAAGAUAAGGUUCAAGUCCAGUUAGAAGAGCUAGAGAAAGAAAGAGAAAAACUGGAAAAAAUGAAGAUUCUUGCUGAGAGAGAACAAUCUGAAAGAGAGAGAGCUGAUAUAAAUAGGCUAAAUGGUGAAAUAGAGACAAUGAGACAAACAGUGAUAAUUCAGAAGAGUGAGCUGGAGCAGAGAGAGAAAUAUAUUACUGAGCAGCAGCAAAGACUGGAUCAAAGUGUAAAAGAGGUAACAGAAGAAAGAAGUGAAAUGGAUAAGAUGAGGCUUGAACUAGAAGCUCGGAGACAUCGAAUUGAAGAUGACAUGAACACUGUUGCAAAGCAGGAAAAAGAACUUGCACAACUGAGAGAUGAAAUACAAAGAGAAAAACAAGAAAUUGGUGAGAACAGGAACAUGAAUAACAAGUUAAUGAAAGAUCUGGAAAUUAUGAAAGCCAAGCUGGAGGAACAACAAGAAGUGAUCCAAACUGAAACAGAAAAACUCCAAAAGGAAAGAAAACUAGUUGACCAGACAAAAUCUGAGGUUCAGAAUGAUGCUGAAAAUCUGAAAAACGUAUCUGAAGAGAUCAAAAGGAAGCAAGAAAAAACUGAGAUAAGGGAGGCCCACCUUAACCAAAUGAUGGAGCAAUGUGUCAAUACCAUGGAAGAAACUAAGAGGAAGAAGAGUGAACUAGAAAAGACUAUUGAUGACAUAGAAGAGCAAAAUCAACUGAUUAAGACUGAGAAAGACCAUCUGGAAAAAGAGAGACAUAACAUUGAAAAGGAAAAAGAAGAUUUGCAAAGACGAGCUGAUGACAUGGAGAUGCACAUGACAGAACAAAAAGAAAAAGAAGAGAUGAGUAAAAGGUUGAUGGAUGACGAGAAAAAGCUUCUUGAGGAAAAGGCUGGCGAAAUUCUGAGACAAAGAGAUGAAAUAGAGAAAGAAAAAGAGGACAUGACAAAGAAGUGGGAUGAGCUGGAUGUUCUUCAGAAGAAAAUACAAAAACAAAGAGACGAAGUGGAAGAAAUGAAAUAUGAGUUACAAACUGAAAAGACUAAAAUGAAUCAACAGCAGCAAGGACUGGAUGAGAUUAUAAGAGCUGUGAAUGAGGAGAGGAGAGAUCUAGAGAACAUGAGGAGUGAAUGUGAAAAAUACAGACAACAAAUGGAAGAAGAGAUGAGAGUAAAAGCAAAGAUGGAGAAGAGGAACUUGAUCAGAUAA